GGUAAAAUGGCUGAGAGUAAGCGGUAAGCUGUAAACUUAUUAACGAAUUAAAUUCUUUUACC
rnacentral:tRNA from 1 species